UUUUGAAAAAAAAGAAAAGGAAACUCGAACGAGGUCUGGAGGGUGUGGACGAGCAACAUUGUGUCUCACCAGGCGCCCGCUAACGAAGGUGUGCCUCGCGUUGAGCGCAGAGGUUGUGUGACAUAUAUUUAGUCGGUGUGCUGUUGAACGCAUCAUAAUGACACCCAUUCAAGAUUCCUGUGGCUCGUCGCGUCGCUGCCCUCCGAUAAGAGUUCCGUGUGUGGUGAUCUUCAUUUCCUAAAACAAAUGAUGACGACGAACGCCGUGGUGGUGGUGGUUGCCCAAUUCCUAUCUACUACGAUCUUAUCACGGGCAGGUGGAGUGCAGCGUGAGAUGAACAGUGUAGGGGAGAGAGACCACACGUCAUCGUUUUGUGUCGCGUAUGCUUGUCUCGUGCUGAGUGGCCAGCAUCAACGCUAGAGCUUCACCACGUGCGAUGAUCAACACUCAGUGGCGACGGGGAUUGCGCGUGUUUUUUUUUUUUGGGGGGAUAAAGAUUCAUUGAGCGCCACAUGAGUUCGCGAUCUCGCCCACUCGAGAUCCUACCCGGCGCUCUUGGAUUUCGCUUAGUUCGGUGGAUUAGGGAGAGAGCGGGCCAAUCGUCUCGGGUUGCCAGUGGUCAUCAAACGGCAUCGCCUGAAGCGACAAAGCAUUUCGUCAACUCUUCAACGAUCACAAGGAUCAAGCUGAACGAGGACGGCGUACUUCCAAAACAUAAGGUCUGAUGGGUGGAAGAAGGCGAGCUCAGAAAGCAGAUGAGAAGACAGAGCUAUUCGCACCUGGUAGCCAAGUGUCGUAUUGGGAUCAGAGCGAAAGGCUAAGACGCUGAUGUGGAGAAGGCUAGAAAAAGCAUCGAAAGAACGAAGAAUGCUCCCUUCGAGUCAAACCCCGAAGGAUUUAGAGGAAAUGCUUGCUGAGGAGUCCAAAUCGAAGAACUAUACUCCUUUUUCCUAGAUGAUAAGGACCACAAGUUCAAAAGAAGCUCAACAAAUCGGCAAAAAUCCCGUGAGUUCUGCUGUUUUUGAGAGCUCUAGCCAGUAUUUGCAGGCAUUUAAUGUAGCAAUUUUACUUAAAAACAACCAAUUAUAAGCCUAUAGUCAGUUGAACGUAUCGAAAAACUAAGUACAGCUUAAGUUUAUCGAGGAAAGGUACUAAAAAGGGGGUAAAAACUCGAAAAACUAAUGCCACCACGUUUAAAGUACCAGUAAAGAGAAUAAAAAACAGACCCAAACUUAAAGAACUAAAAUAAACAUGGAGUAGAGACUUAUAAAACAGUUAGAAUAGAUAAUCGUAACGACACGGAAAGACUAUAAAACAGCAACAAAAAAAAUCAAGAAGAAAAGAAAAAAGCACUGUAAAAUAAUAAAAAAUACGAAUUUAGACAGCAAAAACAUAAAAAGUAGGUUAAAAUGAGAAAAAACUAUAAUUUCGCGAGAAAACUAAGAGAAAAGCGAAGGAAAUGCAAGUCAGAGCAAUGAAAAUAAAAGAAAACAUGUAAUAAACACAAAGGAAAACAUAGAAAAAGAAUACGCACACAUAACGACAUGAAAAGACAAGAAAACAACAAAUUAUACCAAAAAGAAGAAAACAAAACAAGAUACAGCUAUAAGAAAUGUAAAAUAUACAGUAUAAAAUGGAAAAUACGAAAUUAAACAGCAAGAAUAGACAAAUAAACAGCAAGAAAAAAAAACAUAAACGGUAAAACAAUAGUAAGAAAACAAAGUAAAACAGUAAGAUUGGUUUAAAUAGACGAAAAGAAAAGAAGAAAAAUAGGAAGAAAAGAAAGAAAAACAAUUAAAAAGUGCAUUUUAAGCUUAAGAGAUAAAAAUAAUGCUAAUUAAUAACAAAACUAACACUUAAAUAUAUUUAGAGUAAUUCGAAAGAAAACCCGAAAAAGUUUAAUAACAAUACCAUCAAAAACAUUUCUGAUCAAAUUUAUGCGUUUUAUUAAAUUUUGGACCGGUCUUAUUAUGUUGACUAGCACUGUAUCCGAAACGGGCAUUAAAAUGGCAUCCUCCCCUAGUUUGGAUGCUCUCCUGGUAUCGUGGAUAAAAUUUUGGUUCGGAAAAAGUAACAGGCGGAGCAACGAUCGACGUGCGGCAAAUGUGUUACCUCCUGUUUUGGAUGCUGCCCUGGUAUCGAAAACUGGAUUUUGGAUCAAUUUCGGUUCGAAAAAAGUAAGUCGCCGUGAAUCGAAUGAUACCUCCUGAAAAGGAUGCUCUCCUGGUAUCGGAAACCAAAUUUAAGGCCAAUUUUAUUUCGGGCGAAAAUACCCGGCGCCGUCGGAUAAAUGUUACCUCCUGCUGUGGAUGCUCUCCUGUUAUCGACGAUCGAAUUUUCGAUCAAUUUUUUUUCGUCAAAAGUACCAGGCUCAUCAGGCGGAUCGAAAGGUUGCCUCCUGAUGUGGAUGCUCGCCUGGUAUCGAAGAUCGAAUUUUCGUCACUUUUUGCGCCGGCUAUCUGGGAUCGCCGAAGAAACAAUUCUACCUUCUCCUCGCUGGGAUGAUGCUCGCCUGGUAUCCGAAAUCAAGUUUCGGCAGAAAAGUUUCUCAUUUUCGGGGCAAUGUUUUAAAAAUAUAUUUUUGUAUAGUAAUAAAAACACACAGAACCAAAUCACCCUUUUAUUGGUAGUUAUUAAUUCAUUUAUUUUCAUUUAUCGCGUGCAUUCGAAUAAUUUCUUCUUUUUUUUGUUUGUUGUUUUGCUUAUUUUCUUCUUCUCCUAAUCUCUUUCGCGUUCUCUCGCUCUCUCUCUCUCUCUCUCUUCUCAUUCGCUCGUACACGCACACACACAUCCAGUUCUUUCGCACGUCGCUUGUUUUCCUUGUCUUAUACAAACGUUCGUGUGUUUUCUUCCUCCUUUCUUAUCUUUCUCUACAAUUCUAUGCGCGUGUGUGUUUUUGUUUAUUUUGUUUGUUUGUUAAUACACAGCUGGUUUCAUUCAUUCAUUUCUAUCCUUCUUUUUCUUCCUCUUUUUCUUCACGCUUUUUUCCACAGGAGUGUAUCAGGAGUGUUUUCUUUCCUUCUCUUGUUCUCUCGUUUCACUUUCUUCUCCGUUUGUUCCUUUCUACCGCUUUUCUACUUCUAUAUCCCUCCUUCUUCCCUUCUUCUUGUUCUGUUUUACUGUUUGCAUUUCUUCUUUUUUGAGGGGGAAGGAUUUGUGUUUUCUUAUACGGGUUUUGUUAAGCUUUGUUUUCUUCUUUUACUCCAUUUUGUUUUUCCCCACUAGAAGCUAGGCAGUAGUAAACUCCCCGUCUUUAAUAUCCUUUUCUCUCUUUUCUCUCUCUCUUAUCUCGUUUGUUUUUGUUUCACUCUCACGGAAAUAAUUUAAUUACGCUUUUUAUAAUCUGUGUUUUGGGGGUUUUUCUUCCUCUCUACUUUUCUUCUUUCCAUUUUUUUGCCCGUUUUGUUUUGUAAUUCUUCCUCCUUCUUUCUUCUCUUGCUUUAUAUAUGUUUAUCCGAUGUUAAUAUAUAGGGGUAAUGGCUUCCUGAUGAGUGUGAGUGUGUUUUUCUUCUUCUUCUUCUUCUUCUUCUUUGAGUUCUCUUUUGCUUUCUCUGGGAAUGGAUGGGAUGGGGCGAUGCGUUCCUCUUCCUGAUAUCGGCUAUUGCUAUUCUUCCUGACCUGGUGCAUGUGUGGGCGGCGUGUUGUCCAAUACGCACACACGCAAGCAGUAUUGCUUUCAGUAACUGCGAGAGCGUUCCUUUUCUCUCUCCCUCUCUCGUUAUUGGUUUAUCAAGGGAGAGGAAGAGCUUGUUAAGAAGGAGGGCGAGAGCUAAUGGUGAUGUUUGUUGGUUUGUUUUCGCUACUAUUUUAAACUUGGUUUUGCCCUAUAUUGUUGUGUCUGGCUGUGUUUAUGUGUGUUUGUAUGAGAGCUUAAGCUUCGUAUAUGGCACCCCUUCUUCUUUUUCUUCUUCUGGUUUUUUAUUCAAACUAUUGCCAACCGACGGAAGGGGGAAAAAGAGGGAAAAAUCGUGUCUUUAUGUGUGUCUUUGUCUGUGUGUGUCUGGCGCUAACUAAACAAUAAAGCGAUUGUCACUAGAUGUGUUUUAGUGUGUGUGUGUUAACAACUCUAUUUUUGUUUGCUCGCUGUGUUAUAGGUUUGUUCCUUCGCAGAAACGAUUCGACAAGAUAGAGAAUGGAGUGUUUUGUUUUGUUUUGAGGAAAGCUUCUACUUAUACAAAUUCACAUUGUGUUAUUAGUUUAGUUAUUCCUAAGCAUACUUUUGCUAUUAUAGCGCUACCGUUAACAGGCUCACCGGCGUGUGUGUGUGUGUGGUUUAAUGGUGGCGUUUUGGUUGUUUUCUUCUUCUUGCUCGGGAGACACGACGCUUCUACUGAGCGGGACAACAUUUUUUUUUGUUUAAACAAUUCUUCUUCCUUCUUUCUCUUUAUGUGUGUGUGUAUUUUUUGUUUGUUUGUUUUCUUUAUAAAAAGGGCGGAUUCGUAAAACUGUACCAUUUUUGCUUCUUCUUCUUCUAUCUCUUUUGCUUCUUCUGCUUCUUCUUCUCUUUAAGGUUUUUUGUUAUGUUUUCUAGCGCUUUUAACUCAUAAAUUUUAACUGGUUUUUUUUUUCGUUUGAAUUUUCUCUCGUUUUCUUUCUUUCUUCCACUUCCAGUUUUAAGCUGCGCGUGUAUUUUUACGUGUCUGUGGUGCGGGAUUUGAGUUUUCUAUUUGCUGUGUUACACUACUUAUUUGCUGUUUUAUUCCUGCUCUUUUUUGCGUCUUUUCUUGUUUUAAUUUUCCUUCUUCUUCUUCUUCUUCUUCUAUUCGAUUAGGGAGAAAAAGAGCGCUUUAGGUAACGUAAUUAGUGUUUGCUUAGUGUUUAGAAAUAGAGAGGGGAAAAAGAGAGGAAUGGAGGCCUUUGGCUGGCUGGGCGAACAAUGGGAGCUGUUUGGUUUUGCGGUUGGAGACUUGGCCAGGGGGGUGGGGUAACGUUGUGUUUGCUGCUUUUGUUUCUGUGUUUUGUGAUUAAUUUAAUUUGUUUCGCAUAUUUAUCUUCUUUGUGUUUCUUAGUGUGUGUGUGUGUUUUUGUAUGUUUCAUUCUCCUUCUUUCGUUUGCCUUCUUCCUUUGUUUAUUUAUUUAUUGGUUUUCUAAAACCGCCUAAUAACAGCAGGAAGUACCGACCAAGCGACGAUAUUUGCAUAUUUUACGUGUUACUGCUCUUCUUCCGUUUGCUCGUAUUAUUCGAUCACACUAAUCACUCUCGUUUACACAGCGCGUUCGGUUGCCUCACACAAACAUUCACUUUCGAGUCCCCGGAAGCGGACUCUGACGCAACGCAAUCACCUACUUAUACACACAAAGUAUGAGAAUUUCUGUAAGCAAAACCUGUACUCUUUUCAUUCCUUUUUGUCUAGUUUUGCAUUCACCGUUUCUAGUAGUCUUUCAUGUAACCGUAAUUAUUAUUUGCAUUAGCUUGAUUAUUUGCGAAUUGCGUCCGCAUGACACACGGCCCUUUUUCUUGUUUUUCUUUUUUCCUUGCGUUUGCUAUUUACACGACUGUUUCUUACCUUUUUAUCUCUCGCCGCUGUUGUUUAUUGUAGUUUUAUAAUAUGUAUAGUAUAUGAAUUACUAAAAGUAAUAUUUACUGCCUUUACUACUGCCGACGUCUGGCUUUAAAUCAGUGUGGUAAAGUAACGCAAAACUCACGCACACACACAUGCUCACCACCUUUUUUUUCUUCUCUUUUACUCAAAGUGUGUGUGUGUGCUGGUUUCUGUCUUCAAGUCGAAUUAAACAAUUUAUCCAUUGUGGCUUUAACCUUCUCUUUUUUGUUGUAAGGUUUAAACGUUUUAUCUAAGUGUAGCGGCGUUUGUUUUUUUGUAGUCAGUUUUUAGCGUUAAAUGUACUGAUUUUUAUCUUUUUUUUUACUCUUCUCUUUUCCUAUUUUUUAUUUUUGUUUUUUUCAAGGAAGGGCGAGUGUUGUCUUUCCUUCAGCAGCAUCGCUUCACUAUCCCUUUAGUAACUGAACUAAAUAAUGUUUUGCUCUAUGGGGUUUUUUAGUAUUAUAAAUCUUCCGGGUUAAUCUCCGAUUUUAAGUACGCAUUUUGGAGGUGAUUAGUAAACUGCUUUGCUGUGUAAGUGUGAGGAUUUUUUUUACACAAUGAUUUUUGAAAGGGUUGAUGGUUAAGGAAGUGUGUGUGUGUGUGUGGGUUUCAAAAUGACUUUUGCCUAAAACUUCUGUCCCUCGACCCUGCGCGCGAGAGACGACCGUUGUCCGUUGUCUGUCUGACUGUCCGUGGGGUUGUGUCUUUAUUUUCGAGUCUUUUUUGUCCCUAUACUUCAAGUAGAAGGGCAGUGUGUAUGUAUGGGCUGAGUGGUGUUCAAAAUGAAGCUAGAUGGAAUUAUUAUACAAUCCGAACAAUCCUUUUAUCUUAUACCCACUCUUACACCAUCUUGUCGCAUUUUUGAAGAGAGAAAAAAAGAGCUGCAUUAUUUAUACUUUUAUGAAAACCACUGUGUCAUUAGUUCGAUUAGGUAAAUAAAUUACACAAAAAAGUCGAAAAUUACCAAAA